rnacentral:sRNA from 1 species
CAACGAAAAAUGGCACGAACUAGUAACAUACACAGAAUCAGAGUUGCACUAAUUACUGAUUUUGACAGAUAGUGCACUCAAUAUUUUUUUGUUGGACAACUGCUAGUACCUGUUAAUGAAUAUAUCGGGGUUGCGCUAGCCACUGAUUUUCAAAGUUCUCGAUGAGUAUUCCAACUGGGGAAAUAUAUGUUGACACAGGCCCAGAAUUGUGUUUCCCAGAUUCAUAUAUUUCGUUCAUUAGAGCGUUUUCGUGCAAUUCAAGUUUUUUAACAAACUUUUUUUGGUGGCAUAAUGCGUAAGUGCAAAGAGGCAUAACAGCAGAUGUAUUAUAAACGACCUUACGCUCUAAAAUUUCAAACUCUUUGGCUACUGUUGGAGAUAUGGUGAACCAGAUCCAGGAAAGCCAUAAACCAGAACUGAUCUGAUAGUCACCUUGUACAAAAGUAGUUUCGUUUGUAGCGCUUUUUGCAGAUUUAGUCUCACAUGUUGAUUGAAUUUCAUCAAUUUGUUAAAUGUUAUGCACAAGUACUUGAUUUCAGAUUGACGCGCAAGGACGCUCCCCUGCGGCACUCCGUUGUUGAUCAUGCCAGAUGAGGAUAGUGCGCUCUUUAUUUUCACUGUGGAAUAAUUUAACAACGACAAGCUCAAAAACUUUCCCGACACUUGAUAAUUAAUUGGGAUUAUGUUGGCUCAUUUCCAAGCAGCCGGAAAAUGUCUAUUAUUUUUACAAUUGUUGUAUAUACAGAUUCUUUUGCCAUUGACGUUUGCAUUUUAAAAGUUUUUUUUGGCCUUUUCGGAGAGCCGGAAUUUAUGUUCAUUGGCAUGAAUCUUUUGGGAAUGAGAGUCAUAGAUUGUCCCAAAGACCAGAUUAAAAUCCUCAAUUAAUGAAUCCGGCUCAUUGUUGGACAAGUUGCAGUUUGAUGGAGGCAUUAACCUCUCAGAUUCGGUGUCAAGGAUGCUUCUAAAGCUGUUCCAGUCAGUACUUUUAUAUGAAGUGAAGGCAUGGGGUAGAUUCAUAAUUAUUCCUGAGCACUCAAUAUAAAUUUUCAUUUUUAAAGGGAAGUGAUCCGAGAAUGAUGGCAGCGAGGAAAUCUCAACGUUUUGGAGACAAUUGUCAAUCAGAUUUGAGCUGAGAAGUUAAUGGCCGAGGAACGAUGGGCCGUUUGGAUAUGACGAGAAAUCAUCGCAAAGUCGGACAAUAUCCAAUGUAUUUUCGUUAAGACAACUCAAUAGAGUUUUUCC